AAUCAGCUUGACCCGUUCUAUGUAGAUACUGCUAUAUAAAUAGGAGAGAGCGAGAGGAGAUUACAAGAUAGAUUCAGACUGCAGGUUAAGAGAUAUCCAGAGUUACAACCAGCUACUCGACCAGGCCAAGAGCUCCUUUGGUUUAUAACUGGCAUUAGCUGUCUAUGAGCAUAUUUAAUCUUAAUUCAUGAACUCAAUAUAUUUAUGUAUUAGCAUUUUCUAGUAUUAUUUAAGUACAUUGACCUACUCUAAUUUAUUUAUUUGAUUUUUGUGAGCAGGAUUUUAAAUUCUUACCUUGCAGGGAAGCUUAGACAACAUCAGCAUUAUCAUUAUCUGCUUCGACGGCGCCCCCAAGGUGACCCCAGAGGCACUGCAACAGGAGGCAGAGUUAGAGCACGUCAUUGAGCAAAAAGUGGCAGAGAUCAUUAACAUGAUCAGAUCUAGAGACCAGGAACCUGACCUGCUCUAUGUGAUGAAAUGCCUGGCGUCUGAAUAUAUUCCCGGCCUCCCACCAAGUGGAGGAAUCUCAUGCAAGAAAGAUUGCAUAAUUGGCGCAUAUCAGAAAUAUGCAGCAGCCUUUAGAUCUCUUGAGCCGAUGGAUAUUGGCGGCUCUGAUGACUCCACCUAGUGGCCAUUAUGUUGGAGAUGGAAUCAAGCCUUGAAUCUCUGUAGAUGUAAUAAUCAAUGUGAGGAGGACAUUUGUGCCACCUGCUUUACAGAGGUCAAAUUGUUUAGCCAAACUAUUUCUUUUUUAAAUCAAUGUUGGGUAUUGUAAACAUACAAACAGAAAUAGGAGGAAGAGAAUGAUUUAUCAUAUGCUUUCAUGAAGGUAAAGCAUUUAACACUGACGCUAUGUAAAGCGUUUUAUGGAAGACAGAAAGUUUUUACUUUACUUAAAGGUGAAGUGUGGAACUGAUGUGUCACCAAAUGGAAUUGUAAGUGUUUUUGAUUAAGGAUUUCAAGGGCACAUGAAAAUUUCUCAUUUACAAUAAACACUCCAUUUAAAAAAAAUGUGCCACAGAGCUGAAGUUUUUAGCAAAAAUUAAUUAAAUUAAAUUAAUACUUGAUUGUCUAUCCACUUGCAUGGAAUAAAAGAAAGCAUGCCCACUGAAUUACACAAAAUUGCACAAAUCACCUUUAAAUAAAUGUACUUUGCCAGCUUUUUAAGUAACACUUUUCUAAAUGUAUUUAAAUAAAUAAUUUUAUGUAAUAUUACAGUUAUAGGUUGUUUCAUGACUGACUUCACGAAUGACCCAAGAUUUACGUAUUUAAGACUCAAUGUAUAAUUUGUAUAAGUGUAUUAUAAAUGUAUAAGUGUAUUAUAAAUGUUUCUUUUAUUUGAUUAUAGAUGUUAAGCUCGCUUUACCUACAGAGAGCUUAGAUUUAUAUAACCAAACUUGCACAAUAUAUUAAAACUAACAU